rnacentral:rRNA from 1 species
UAGGGAAUAUUGGACAAUGGGCGAAAGCCUGAUCCAGCCAUGCCGCGUGAUAGAUGAAGGCCCUCUGGGUUGUAAAUAUCUUUUAUCUGGGAAGAAACUCUCCUAUUCUUAGGAGCCUGACGGUACCAGAGGAAUAAGCACCGGCUAACUCCGUGCCAGCAGCCGCGGUAAUACGGAGGGUGCAAGCGUUAUCCGGAUUCACUGGGUUUAAAGGGUGCGUAGGCGGGCUGAUAAGUCAGUGGUGAAAGCUCCGAGCUUAACUUGGAAACUGCCAUUGAUACUGCUAGGCUUGAAUGUCGUAGAGGUAAGCGUAAUGUUGCAUGUAGCGGUGAAAUGCUUAGAUAUGUUACAGAACACCAAUCGCGAAGGCAGCUUACUAUGCGAUGAUUGACGCUGAGGCACGAAAGUGCGGGGAGCAAACA